rfam:Dipodomys ordii contig_2172, whole genome shotgun sequence.
GGGAAUGUGACUUAGUGAUAAAGUGCUUGCCUAACAUGCAUGAAGCCCUGGGUUCAAUUCCUCGAUACCA